rnacentral:tRNA from 1 species
GCAUCUUUAGCUCAGCUGGUAGAGCAACUGACUCUUAAUCAGUGGGUCCAGGGUUCGAGUCCCUGAAGAUGCACCA